GGUAUGUGUAAAUACUGAUAACAAGUGUGAAUGUUGAAUACUGUCAGGCGUGUAGCUGCCCUUGAGCUGCAGACACAAUAUCUCUGUCUCCUCACAGGCAAAGUGCUGUCUCUUCUGAUGCUUUGCCGGAACCUAGACAUUACGGUCCCUUCAAUAAAUCAGAUUAAUAUUAACAAGCUGGAGGCAGUUAGCUUAGCUUAGCAUACGUCUUUGUCCGGCUCAAUGAUCAUAAAACAGGAAGUUGAAGUAGAGAAUUAGCCAAGAGUAAUAUGUGUGCCUGAUAUCCAACGAUGAAUGGUAUGGACACAAAACAGAAGUCAGAUUCAGUUCUUUAUUUGUUUUUUGGGAGGAAUAUUUUUGUAAAUGACUCAAGGUUCUCCCAAUAAUACAAAACAGGAAGAGGGAAAAGUUAAAACAAAAACAAAAAUCCCACAUCGAAGAGCACAGAUCCAUUCAACAGGGUUCAUCCUCAUGACCAAUGAACAGGUUCAUCCUCAUGACCAAUGAACAGGUUCAUCCUCAUGACUAAUGAACAGGUUCAUCCUCAUGACCAUUCAACAGGUUCAUCCUCAUGACCAAUGAACAGGUUCAUCCUCAUGACCAAUGAACAGGUUCAUCCUCAUGACUAAUGAACAGGUUCAUCCUCAUGACCAAUGAACAGGUUCAUCCACAUGGCCAAUAAACAGGUUCAUCCACAUGGCCAAUGAACAGGUUCAUCCUCAUGACCAAUGAACAGGUUCAUCCACACGACCAAUGAACAGGUUCAUCCUCAUGACCAAUGAACAGGUUCAUCCUCAUGACCAAUGAACAGGUUCAUCCACAUGACCAAUGAACAGGUUCAUCCUCAUGACCAAUGAACAGGUUCAUCCUCAUGACCAAUGAACAGGUUCAUCCACAUGACCAAUGAACAGGUUCAUCCACAUGACCAAUGAACAGGUUCAUCCACAUGACCAAUGAACAGGUUCAUCCACAUGACCAAUGAACAGGUUCAUCCUCAUGACCAAUGAACAGGUUCAUCCACAUGACCAAUGAACAGGUUCAUCCACAUGACCAAUGAACAGGUUCAUCCACAUGACCAAUGAACAGGUUCAUACACACGACCAAUGAACAGGUUCAUCCUCAUGACCAAUGAACAGGUUCAUACACAUGACCAAUGAACAGGUUCAUCCUCAUGACCAAUGAACAGGUUCAUCCACAUGACCAAUGAACAGGUUCAUCCACAUGACCAAUGAACAGGGUUCAUCCUCAUGAGCAAUGAACAGGGUUCAUCCUCAUGACCAAUGAACAGGUUCAUCCACAUGACCAAUGAACAGGUUCAUCCACAUGGUGACCAAUGAACAGGUUCAUCCACAUGGUGACCAAUGAACAGGUUCAUCCUCAUGACCAAUGAACAGGUUCAUCCACAUGACCAAUGAACAGGUUCAUCCACAUGGUGACCAAUGAACAGGUUCAUCCACAUGGUGACCAAUGAACAGGUUCAUCCACAUGGUGACCAAUGAGUCUCCAGGACUUCAAACCAAAUAUCCACAACCUAAUAGUUUGUGAAAUCUCGGUGCAGACAUGAAAAAGUGAGAAAAUGUUCUAUUUAACCCAACAAAGAGGAUUCCAAAGCAUAGUUUAUAACCUUAAAUUACACAAAUUAAUGAGACAAUCAUUUAGAUUAAAAGAAUAAACAUGUAUGUCUCUUCAGUUAAGGUGCGUUCACUUGCAGCGCGAAAAAUUUGUUUGAAUAUAACAAAUAUCCAUAACUUUUCAAAAACGUUGGGGAUUUUUUUUCUCCAGGACUUUUCCAGGUUUUCCACGUCCGUACGAAACCUGAUUAUUGCUUUUCAAAGCUGGAAGAGUGCAUUAUGAUUUAUAAACACCAUAAAACCACCACAGAGACCUG